rnacentral:rRNA from 1 species
GACGAACGCUGGCGGCGUGCCUAAUACAUGCAAGUAGAACGCUGAAGAGAGGAGCUUGCUCUUCUUGGAUGAGUUGCGAACGGGUGAGUAACGCGUAGGUAACCUGCCUUGUAGCGGGGGAUAACUAUUGGAAACGAUAGCUAAUACCGCAUAACAAUGGAUGACACAUGUCAUUUAUUUGAAAGGGGCAAUUGCUCCACUACAAGAUGGACCUGCGUUGUAUUAGCUAGUAGGUGAGGUAAUGGCUCACCUAGGCGACGAUACAUAGCCGACCUGAGAGGGUGAUCGGCCACACUGGGACUGAGGCACGGCCCAGACUCCUACGGGAGGCAGCAGUAGGGAAUCUUCGGCAAUGGGGGCAACCCUGACCGAGCAACGCCGCGGGAGUGAAGAAGGUUUUCGGAUCGUAAAGCUCUGUUGUAAGUCAAGAACGGGUGUGAGAGUGGAAAGUUCACACUGUGACGGUAGCUUACCAGAAAGGGACGGCUAACUACGUG